CAUCAACGGAGUGUUGCUGUGGAUGAUACAUUGCGAAAGAAUGCCUCACAUCUAGUAAUUCAAGGAGUGAAAUCGUUUUCUGCAAUCGAAGUUAAAAACAAUGUUACGACCGACACCGUCAAUGAGCGUGAUUUUAGGGCAUGGUCGGAGAAAUUGAUUCUACAGAAAAGC